GGAUAUCCUUUGUAUCUUCUAGUGGCAAUAUUUAGAGCUACCAAUGGUCUAAGUUAGCCUACCUGACUUGGGAUAAUUUGAGCUCGAUUUUAUACUACUAGCAAGGCUCAAGCCAAAAGUUUGAACCUAAGAUUGCUAUCAGAUAGAGCUCAGGUCCAAAACUGUAAAUUGAGAAAAAAAAAGGCUCUAGCCAUUUUUCUUCUUAGUUCCACCCUCAACUGACAACAUUGUCUAUAUUGGGAAUGUGAGAAUUCAAGGUUGAAGGGCACAUAAUGAGAACCUACAAUAUUUAAGUGUGCUUGGAUUUUUGUUAUAAAUCAACAUGGAGUUAUUUUUGUACCAUCUCAUUACUAAAGAGAGUAUUACAAAAAUUACGAGACAUCCUUCUCUUGAGAGAAUCGUACAAGAAAGGUUAUACUAAAAAAAAUCUAUAGAAAUAUAAGAGAAUCUCAAAUAAUAACAAGAGAAUUAUGGAAAAUAAAAUAAGUUUUGUUGCUAUAAGACUCCAAAAGAGCUAUGACAUGGCUAGAGCUAGAUGCUAUUUGAGAUCCAAGAUGCGGAGAGAAUCUACAAAAAAAGUUCGUAUUCAUCGGGGGUAUUCUGACGAGGGACCCUCCAAUGUAUAAGUUAGCUGAAGCUUUAGGAACAACAAAAAAGAGAGAGUGAGAGAGAGAUGGUAAUAGAGAACAAAGCCUCCUCUCCACUUUUAUUUUUUCUUUUCUGAGUUAGCUUGUCCUUACCUGAGGGUCCUCAUCAUACCUUUUUUAUAUGGAGGUAGAGUCCGUAUCUUGUUAGCCAGAAUGUUUAGGUUUGUUGGGCCUGAUUAGGGAUGGC
rnacentral:lncRNA from 1 species